rnacentral:rRNA from 1 species
CCUACGGGAGGCAGCAGUAGGGAAUCUUCCGCAAUGGGCGAAAGCCUGACGGAGCAACGCCGCGUGAGUGAUGAAGGCCUUCGGGUUGUAAAACUCUGUCUUCUGUGAAGAACCAUCCUGUGCAGAGAAAGCUCAGGACCUGACGGUAACAGAGGAGGAAGCCCCGGCUAACUACGUGCCAGCAGCCGCGGUAAUACGUAGGGGGCAAGCGUUGUCCGGAAUCACUGGGCGUAAAGCGCGCGCAGGCGGUCUUUCACGUCCGGGGUGAAAGCCCAGAGCUCAACUCUGGGAUUGCCUUGGAUACGGGGAGACUUGAGGAUCGGAGAGGCAAGGGGAAUUCCACGUGUAGCGGUGAAAUGCGUAGAGAUGUGGAGGAACACCUGUGGCGAAGGCGCCUUGCUGGCCGAUUUCUGACGCUGAGGCGCGAAAGCGUGGGGAGCAAACAGGAUUAGAUACCCUGGUAGUCCACGCCGUAAACGAUGAGUGCUAGGUGUUAGGGGGCCCACCCCUUAGUGCCGAAGCUAACGCAUUAAGCACUCCGCCUGGGGAGUACGGUCGCAAGACUGAACUCAAGGAAUUGACGG